UGGGGGGACCAUCCUCCAAGCCUAAGUACUCCUUAUCGACCGAUAGUGAACAAGUACCGUGAGGGAAAGGUGAAAAGCACCCCGACGAGGGGAGUGAAACAGUACCUGAAACCGAACGCCUACAAUCAGUCGGAGCCCCCUUGCGGGGUGACGGCGUACCUUUUGUAUAAUGGGUCAUCGACUUGGUCUAUCUAGCAAGCUUAAGCCGUUAGGUGUAGGCGCAGCGAAAGCGAGUCUGAAUAGGGCGCAUGAGUUAGAUGGAUCAGACCCGAAACCGAGUGAUCUAGGCAUGGCCAGGUUGAAGGUUGGGUAACACCAACUGGAGGACCGAACCCACAUCCGUUGAAAAGGAUCGGGAUGAGCUGUGCCUAGGGGUGAAAGGCCAAUCAAACUCGGAAAUAGCUGGUUCUCCGCGAAAUCUAUUUAGGUAGAGCGUUAGAUGAAUACCAUCGGGGGUAGAGCACUGGAUGGGCUAGGGGGUCUCACCGACUUACCAAACCUAACCAAACUCCGAAUACCGAUGAGUAAUAUCUGGCAGACACACUACGGGUGCUAAGGUCCGUAGUGGAAAGGGAAACAGCCCUGACCGCCAGCUAAGGUCCCUAAGUUAUGGCUAAGUGGGAAAGGAUGUGAGAGUGCAUAGACAACCAGGAUGUUGGCUUAGAAGCAGCCAUCAUUUAAAGAAAGCGUAACAGCUCACUGGUCAAGCGCUCUUGCGCCGAAAAUGUACCGGGGCUAAAGCCAUACACCGAAGCUGCGGAUGCACAUUUAUGUGCGUGGUAGCGGAGCGUUCUGUAAGCCUGUGAAGGGUGACCCGCGAGGGCACUUGGAGGUAUCAGAAGUGAGAAUGCUGACAUGAGUAGCGAUAAAGAGGGUGAGAGACCCUCUCGCCGAAAGACCAAGGGUUCCUGCGUAAAGCUAAUCUGCGCAGGGUUAGUCGGCCCCUAAGGCGAGGGCGAAAGCCGUAGUCGAUGGGAAACAGGUUAAUAUUCCUGUACCUGGAGGUAGUGACGAAUCCCGUGUGUUGUUUACCCUUAUUGGAUUGGGUAGGCCGCGAAGGGGUUCCAGGAAAUAGCUCCUCCAUUAUAGACCGUACCCCAAACCGACACAGGUGGUCAGGUAGAGAAUACCAAGGCGCUUGAGAGAACUCGGGUAAAGGAACUAGGCAAAAUGGUGCCGUAACUUCGGGAGAAGGCACGCUGGUGGUAGGUGAGACCCCUUGCGGGUGGAGCUGACGCCAGUCGAAGAUACCAGGCCCCUGCGACUGUUUAUUAAAAACACAGCACUGUGCAAACACGAAAGUGGACGUAUACGGUGUGACGCCUGCCCGGUGCCGGAAGGUUAAUUGAUGGGGUUAGCAUUCGUGCGAAGCUCUUGAUCGAAGCCCCGGUAAACGGCGGCCGUAACAAUAACGGUCCUAAGGUAGCGAAAUUCCUUGUCGGGUAAGUUCCGACCCGCACGAAAGGUGUAACGAUCUGCGUACUGUCUCGGAGAGAGACUCGGCGAAAUAGACUUGUCUGUGAAGAUGCGGACUACCUGCACCUGGACAAAAAGACCCUAUGAAGCUUUACUGUAGCUUGAGAUUGGCUCCGGGCUUUAUUUGCGCAGGAUAGGUGGGAGGCGUUGAAAAUUUCCUUGCGGGGGAAUUUGAGCCAUUGGUGAGAUACCACUCUAAUAAAGCUAGGAUUCUAACCCUAUACCGUUAUCCGGUUAGGGAACAGUCUCAGGUGGUCAGUUUGACUGGGGCGGUCGCCUCCUAAAAGGUAACGGAGGCGUGCAAAGGUUUCCUCAGACUGGUCGGAAAUCAGUCGAAGAGUGUAAAGGCAUAAGGAAGCUUGAUUGUGAGACCUACAAGUCGAACAAAGACGAAAGUCGGCCUUAGUGAUCCGGCGGUACCAAGUGGAAGGGCCGUCGCUCAACGGAUAAAAGUUACUCUAGGGAUAACAGGCUGAUCUCCCCCAAGAGUUCAUAUCGACGGGGAGGUUUGGCACCUCGAUGUCGGCUCGUCGCAUCCUGGGGCGGUAGUACGUCCCAAGGGUUGGGCUGUUCGCCCAUGAAAGCGGCACGCGAGCUGGGUUCAGAACGUCGUGAGACAGUUCGGUCCAUAUCCGGUGUAGGCGUUAGAGUAUUGAGAGGAUCUCUUCUUAGUACGAGAGGACCGGGAGAGACGUACCUCUGGUGUGCCAGUUAUCGUGCCAACGGUAGACGCUGGGUAGCCAUGUACGGUAAGGAUAACCGCUGAAAGCAUCUAAGUGGGAAGCCCACCUCAAGAUGAGUACUCUUAC
rnacentral:rRNA from 1 species